GGGUGUGUGUGUGUGUGUGUGUGUGUGUGUGUGUGUGUGUUUCCCUCUAUCUCACACUCACACACACACGCGCGCACACUCUCA
rnacentral:miRNA from 1 species